CCUGAGCCGCCCCCGAGCCCAGACAACCAGCUCUCCCUCGUGCUCACCUGCAUAUGAGGGUAGAAGCCACCCCAAUAAGAUUAUUUCCAGUUAUUAAUUGUGACUUGUUGGGAUCACAAGAACUGGGCAUGAAAUUAUGAUUCUGAUAGUCAAGCCACCUGUGAUCUUAGUCCUCCUGAGAGACCUUGCACUGUGAUUCUCACCACCCCAGCAGCCAUCAAAGCACCUGCUCAUGUCAAAGCUUAAACUUCUAAUGAAGACUGUAAUUCCAGGUCAGACACAAACAGGUCACAAGACAAGAGACUCAGGAGCCACUGGCCUGGGGACUUCUAGUGACCUGCCUGGUACUUUCACCCCUAAGAUAGGCCCAGCCAAAGCUGAGUCAGGUUCCUUCACUCUUAAAACCUGUGACAAGACUCUGCCACAGGGUGAAAAGUAAGACCUGACACCCCAUGUUCUCCUCUGACAUGUGUGUGCCCACACUCAUGAACACGUAUGCACACAUUGGUCUUC